UACAGAGGUGGCAAGCGUUGUUCGGAAUUACUGGGCGUAAAGGGCGCGUAGGCGGCCAUCUAAGUCAGACGUGAAAUCCCCCGGCUUAACCUGGGAACUGCGUCUGAUACUGGACGGCUGGAGUUUGGGAGAGGGAUGUAGAAUUCCAGGUGUAGCGGUGAAAUGCGUAGAGAUCCGGCGGAACACCGGUGGUGAAGACGGUCUCCUGGGCCGAGGGCCGACGCUGAGGCGCGAGAGCGUGGGGAGCAAACAGG
rnacentral:rRNA from 1 species